rnacentral:rRNA from 1 species
AGCGAACGUUAGCGGCGGGCCUAACACAUGCAAGUCGAGCGAGAAAGGGCUUUCGGCCCCGAGUAAAGCGGCGGACGGGUGAGUAACACGUAGGUAAUCUUCCUUUAAGUGGGGGACAACGUUCCGAAAGGGACGCUAAUACCGCAUAAGUUCCCAGAGACUCCGGUCUUUGGGAGGAAAGCUAGGUAGCAAUAUCUGGCGCUUGAUGAGGAGCCUGCGUCGCAUCAGCUAGUUGGUGGGGUAACGGCCUACCAAGGCGAAGACGCGUAGCUGGUCUGAGAGGAUGAUCAGCCACACUGGGACUGAGACACGGCCCAGACUCCUACGGGAGCAGCAGUGGGGAAUAUUGGACAAUGGCGCAAGCCUGAUCCAGCCACGCCGCGUGAGUGAUGAAGGCCUUCGGGUCGUAAAGCUCUGUGGGGAGGGACGAACCGCUGCACGUUAAUAGCGUGCAGCAUGACGGUACCUCCUUAGCAAGCACCGGCUAACUUCGUGCCAGCAGCCGCGGUAA